AGAACGAACGCUGGCGGCAUGCCUAAUACAUGCAAGUCGAACGAACACUUCGGUGUUAGUGGCGCACGGGUGCGUAACGCGUGGGAAUCUGCCCUUGGGUUCGGAAUAACAGUUGGAAACGACUGCUAAUACCGGAUGAUAUCGAAAGAUCAAAGAUUUAUCGCCCAGGGAUGAGCCCGCGUAGGAUUAGCUAGUUGGUGAGGUAAAGGCUCACCAAGGCGACGAUCCUUAGCUGGUCUGAGAGGAUGAUCAGCCACACUGGGACUGAGACACGGCCCAGACUCCUACGGGAGGCAGCAGUAGGGAAUAUGGACAAUGGGCGCAAGCCUGAUCCAGCAAUGCCGCGUGAGUGAUGAAGGCCUUAGGGUUGUAAAGCUCUUUUACCCGAGAUGAUAAUGACAGUAUCGGAAGAAUAAGCCCCGCUAACUCCGUGCCAGCAGCCGC
rnacentral:rRNA from 1 species